GAUGAACGCUGGCGGCGUGCCUAAUACAUGCAAGUCGAGCGAACAGACGAGGCGCUUGCUCCUCUGACGUUAGCGGCGGACGGGUGAGUAACACGUGGAUAACCUACCUAUCAGACUGGGAUAACUUCGGGAAACCGGAGCUAAUACCGGAUAAUAUAUUGAACCGCAUGGUUCAAUAGCGAAAGACGGUUUUGCUGUCACUUAUAGAUGGAUCCGCGCCGCAUUAGCUAGUUGGUACGGUAACGGCUUACCAAGGCGACGAUGCGUAGCCGACCUGAGAGGGGGAUCGGCCACACUGGAACUGAGACACGGUCCAGACUCCUACGGGAGGCAGCAGUAGGGAAGCUGCCGCAAUGGGCGAAAGCCUGACGGAGCAACGCCGCGUGAGUGAUGAAGGUCUUCGGAUCGUAAAACUCUGUUAUUAGGGAAGAACAAAUGUGUAAGUAACUAUGCACGUCUUGACGGUACCUAAUCAGAAAGCCACGGCUAACUACGU
rnacentral:rRNA from 1 species